AAAGCAAUAAGUUAAUCAAGAAACUAAACUAUUACCGUUCAAAGGUAAAAAUGGUGUGGCCUUGCUUUA
rnacentral:tRNA from 1 species